AGUUAACUAACGGACUUUGACAAACAGUGUAGUAUCUUAUUUUGCUGUAGAGGUCGUUGCAGUGAUGUUGAGUGUCUUCGUGUUGGUGAUGGUAGGCCUACUAGCAGCCGCCAUUGCAGAACCGUCUUCGGAAUCACCAGCGAAAACUCUCAAACCAUUUCUGGGAAUGGAAUACGUAGAGAAGUAUCAAGGCACAAACGUGGACAAGGCGUUGGAAAUAGCAAAAUUUGGCAAAUUCAUAAGAGGGGGUAACUAAAUUUAUGAAGACUGUUGUUAUUAAGCUGAGAGAGAAAGGUAACAAUCUUCAUCUUCAUAUGCGAGCCUGUUCUAUACUGAGGGGUUCAUUCGUCUCGUUUGACAUUCCGAUAGUCUUGGGAGAAAAAAAAGAAUCUCCUUGGAGAAACUCUGCCACUACCUACUCCAUAGAGGGCAACAAGUUGACCAUUGAGACCAAUGAUGAUUAUUCUAUUUAUUGGAUAACUAGAGAAUUUUUCGAAGAUAAGUUAGUAAUGACCAUCACUGUGAGAAACAAAGAGGACUGGACUGAUUUCGUCACGACAAUAACAUCGCUAAGAAAAAAGAAGGGCGAAUGCUAGAUUCAAUCAGAUUGACAGGGAUUUGAUCUUUACAAUAAACGUUGGUUUAUCUUGC